rnacentral:rRNA from 1 species
GACGGAGGAUGCAAGUGUUAUCCGGAAUUACUGGGCGUAAAGCGUCUGCAGGUGGUUUCUUAAGUCCACUGUUAAACCUUGAGGCUCAACCUCAAAUCAGCAUUGGAAACUGGGAAACUUGAGUAUAGUAGGGGUAGAGGGAAUUUCCAGUGGAGCGGUGAAAUGCGUAGAUAUUGGAAAGAACACCGAUGGCGAAGGCACUCUACUGGGCUAUUACUGACACUCAGAGACGAAAGCUAGGGGAGCAAAUGGGAUUAGAUACCCCAGUAGUCCUAGCCGUAAACGAUGGAUACUCGAUGUUGGGCGUAUCGACCCGUCCAGUGUCUUAGCUAACGCGUUAAGUAUCCCGCCUGGGGAGUACGCUCGCAAGAGUGAA